CUCAAAUAACAAUUAAUUUGACAAAUCAACUAGAUUGUAGAUUUUUUUUUCUAAUGUCUACUGAACAAUCAUAAAUAUUAACUGUAUAUAAUAGGACUCAGAAGAGAAGGAGAAGGUGGAUUUCAGAAGAAAUAGCUUCAUUGUAAAUGAAGGAGACAAAUGUGCUAAUAGUUGGAAAGGAAAAUAGCAACAAGAGAGGUUGUUUGCUUAAACAAGUGUGCUUUAAAUAAUAGGAAUAAAAUCAUAAGAAUAAUCUACUAGAGAGAAAUCAAUUAGCAAUAUAAUGGAGUAGGAGAAAACUUAUCUGAGUCUAGCCCAUGAGUAGACAAAAGAAGAGAGGGUGUGAUAUAAUGUAAGAAUGAGCCGUUGGUCAUGGCUAAGAGGGCAGAAUAAUGGGAAUGAAGGCAGAGUAUAUGUGACAUGUGUAGAUGUGGUCAUUAAAGGUUGCUAAUACUGUCUUCUGAUUGUUUUUGUCUUAUCAGUGAAACAGGAAGUGAAGUGAUUGGCUGAGUGAAAGGAGAUUUUGACUUGAGUUUGAUCCCACCUAGAAUAUCAUAUUAUAUUUAGUUGUCAAGUCUCCUUCAGUUUGUCUUGGCUAUGACAGUCUCAAAAUGUAUUUGUUUUGAUGGCCUUGAAGCUAGCGUUGUAUAUUUUGAAGAAUGUCUCUCAGUUGGAUUGUCUGAUGUUUUUCCCACGAUUAGACUGGAUGACGGGUUUUGGGGAGGAAGACCACAAAGCACGUUGGGAGGCCAAGGCAGAUGGAUCACCUGAGAUCAGGAGUUCGAGACUAGCCUGGACAACAUGGUAAAACCCCAUCUCUACUAAAAAUACAAAAAUUAACCAGGCGUGGUGGCAUGUGCCUGGAAUCCCAACUACUCAGGACCCUGAGGCAGGAGAAUCGCUUGAACCAGGGAGGUGGAGGUUGCAGUGAGCGGAGAUCACGUCACUGCACUGAUACAAUAAGGGAGCGAGGUUAAGGACAAAUGCCUCCAGUAAAACAUUUUGCUGAUAUUCACCUUAUUGAUUAUGCACUGACUCACUGAUUUAUAUUGUAACAUAUUGCAGCCAUUGUAAUAAUUAAUAUAUGGUAUUUACAAAGACACCGAUAUUAAAAAAAUUGUAUAAUAUUCAUGUUAAUAAAGUUCUUCAGAUAAAAUGUGGGUGCGGCUGU
rnacentral:lncRNA from 13 species